CUACACACUGUCUGCGCUGCUCCCAGCACGUUCUGAAAUGUCAUAUUUAUGAGUGAUUAUCUGAUCACUGAUUUGGGUAUGAAAAUAAGUAAGAGCUCCUGAAUGCUGCAAAAAGAGAAGAGUGCAGAGGAGGGUGUCAAGAAAUGAUUGGGUCACUGAAUGUUUCUUGUGUACCUGCUAUUAUUUGCAGGGCACCAGGGAGUGAGGAAUGCAAAGGCGAAUAAUCUCCAAAGCGCUUUCAGUGUAGCCCAAUAAGCAAAGGGUCAGGGGUCUGCGCAGUUAUCACAUCAGUUUGAAGUAUAGACCACACAUCAGGAUAAAUCAGGCAAGAUCUUUGUUCUUGAUAAAAUUUAUCCUUCUGUGUAACUACCCAGUGAGCUUCACAGUCUCCUCACAGAUAAAUGUCAUUUUUAUUUUGAAAUGUUUAUAUCUGCUCAACAAUUACCGCGCUCAUGUCAGUGUGCUGAAAUGAGAUCAACCCCCAAACCAGUUAUCUUAAUUGCAAGUACAGAUUUUGAUACUGAAUGUAUUUCAACAUUCUUUUUUUGUUGUUGUUCUGUUCUUUGGGAUAAAUAAUAGAUAACACAAAACUUCCAAGUCCCAGUGCAGGAUUUCGAGGUGGUUGUGCUACUAGGCGUUAUAUUAGUGUCAGAGACCUGACAAAACCAGCCUCUUUUCUACAAAUCCAAGAAAAGCCUUCUUUGUAUCAGUUCUGCACAUAUUUUUGUAUAAUUACCAUUGCUCAUUGCAUCAGCAAAUCCUGCCAGCUCUGUGUUAAAAAUCUUUCUAGACUAUUAACGUAUUUCACCAUCUCCCUAUCAUCACCCUGGACCAAGCCACCAUCAUCUCUUGCCUGGAUUAUUGCACUGGUCUCCUAACUGCUUCUACUUCUGCUCCUACAGUCUUGUAUCACCAGAACAAAAACAGGGACCCUGCUUAUAAUCCAAGGCUGGUAUGUCACUCUGCUCAGAGCCUGCCAGUGGCUUCCUAUCUCAGAAAGAGCAAAAUCCAAAGUCCUCUCAGUGGCUUACAAGACUCUACAUGUUUGGAGUUAUCCCACCAGCACCUCUCUGACACAUCUCCUGCCCUGCCCCCAGGAGCUGGCUGGCUUUAGCCACAUAGCCCCUUUCUUGUUUUCUCAGGGCCUUUGCACAUCCUUGUAAAAGUCUCAUUUCUCCUCCCUCCCGUGUUCCUCACCUUGUUCAGGUCCCUCCCUUCUCACCUUCUUCAGGUCUGCCCAGCAAGACCUUUCCUUGAUUCCACUUCUUAAUGCAGCACAGCCUCACUGCAGCUUCCUCUUCCUUGCCUUAUUUGUUGACUCUUUUCCUACAUCAGAAUAUAAACUCCAAGACUUCAGCAGUUUUUGUCUGCUUGGUUCACUGCCACACCCCCACUGCCUAGAACAGAGCUGGUAUAUUACAGGCAUUUGAUAAAUAUCUGUUGCUCACGCAAGCAUUCAACCACUAUUUAUUCAGGGCCUACUACUAUAUUCCAGGCUGCAUGUUAAAAAAUAAUCACUGCCCACUAGGAGCUUAUAGUCUUGCGAGGGAGACAAAUAAAUAUAGUAUAAAGAUAAGUAAGCCUAUUUCAGGUGGUGAUAAAUGCCACAAAGAAAAUAAAAUUAUAAGAUGUGAUAGAGGGACUGAGUGUGGAAUACUACUUUAUACAGAGUGCCUGGGGAAGGCAUCUCUGUGAAUGUGACAUUUGAGCUGAAUAAUAAGAAAGAGACAGCCAUGGGAAGUUUUGGAGGAAGAGCAUUCCAGGCACAGGGUCAAACAAGUUAAAGGGGCCUGAGUUAUGAGUGAGCUCACAUUGAAAGUUUAUGUAUUGUGUCAUCUACUUGUAUCCUGUGAAUCUCCAAAGUACCCUUGAGAUGAUCAGUACAGAGUCAAAUGUGAGUGAUACCGUGUGCUUAUUCACUACCUGCAGCCUACUAUCAUCAUUCUCUACAUCUUGACAUAAGGUAGUCAUCAACCACCAGCUAGUCUACUGCAGAAAAGCCAUUGGUAUUUCCUUAUGGAAGCCAGGUAAUGCAUGAGAGAUAUAAUAAUGAAUGAAACAGGUGAUUUGAAACACAAGGAAUGUUUUUCUAGUUAAUUUUGUGUGUUCUGUUUCUUGCCUAUUGGUUGGUAUCACAGAAUUCAAAAGGAAAUACUACUGGGGAACUCUGAUGCUGGGACUUGAGGGCCUGAGUGUUUAUAAGAAGAGAGUCAUAACUCUUUAGCAUCUCCAGUAUGUUAAAUAUGCUUGAUUGCAAGGGAUUGGGGAGGAUUUGGAAACCCACUAGCCCUGUGUUUAGUCUCAAACCAGUUUCUAAUGAUGGUCAUUGCUAAUUGAUGGUCAUUGCUCCUUUUCAAGUAACUCUUUGUAUUUUCCUGAAUAAGAUACAGUGUGCCUGCAAGUAACCUGUCCUUUGAUCCUAAAGUGGAGGAUACUGGAAACAUCUCUGGACCUACAUUCUCAUCUCAUUUGCAUCUUCUCCCCCACCUACUGCCUUCUCUUCAAACCAGCUUCCCCUCCCACUCCCCACAGUAAUCCUUCUUAUCCAAAGUUUCCAUUACCAUGGUUUCAGUUACCCAUGGUCAGCUGUGGUUUGAAAAUAUUACAUGGAAAUUCCAGAAAUAUAACUAAUUCAUAAAUUCAAAAUUGCACACCAUUCAGAGUAGUGUGAUGAAAUCUCCCACUGUCCUGCUUCGUCUUGCCCUGGACAUGAAUAUCCACACCUCUACACUCCCAACCCAUGAGUCACUUAGUAGCCAUCUCAGCUGUCAGAUCAACUGUCUUAGUAUCACCCUAUCACAGUGCUUGUGUUCAAGUAACACUCAGUUUACUUAAUAAAUGGCCACAAAUUACAAGAGUAGUGAUGCUGGCAAUUCAGAUAUGCCAAAGAGAAGCCAUAAAAUGCUGCCUUUAAGUGAAAAGGUGAAAGUUCUCAAUUUAAUAAGAAAAAAAAAGUUACAUCCCAAGGUUGCUAAGAUCUAUGAUAAGAAUGUAGACAUUGUGAAAUUUCUGUGAAAUUAUGAAGGAAAAAUUUGUGCUAGUUUUGCUGUCACACCUCCAAACACAAAACGUAUGGCACAGAGUGCAUGAUAAGUGUGUAGUGAAAAUGGAAAAGGCAUUAAACUUGUGGAUUGAAGACAUGAAGAGAAACAUGUUCCAAUGGACAGCAAUCAGGUUCAGUACUACCUACGGUUUCAGUCACCCACUGAGGGUCUUGGAAUGUAUACCCUUUGUAUGAAAGGAGACUACUGUAUUCUGCAUACCAAAGAUUUAAGGAAAGGAAUGAGGAACAUGAAGAGAAAUAUAAAGUUAAAGGGGAGGAAGAACUGGUGAAAUGAAGUGAGUGCCUUUGAGAAUUGAAUGAAUUUAAUAUAUGUGAAAAUGAUCUGUACAUUGUAAAACACCAUUCAAGUGUCAGAAUCAUUAUUUUCCACCACUUAUCAUGGUGCUUGACAAGUCUUCCCAAUAAAUACUGAAUGAACAAAUGAAUGGCAGAAACAUUAAAAUGAACACUAUGGGGAAAGGGGAAGAGAGGCAGAAUCAGAAAUUAUCCUGAAUAAAUAUUUAUUCCAUUUGUCAUCCUCC
ensembl:lncRNA novel transcript